rnacentral:rRNA from 1 species
UACGAAGGACCCAAGCGUUAUCCGGAUUUAUUGGGUUUAAAGGGUGCGUAGGCGGGUUAUUAAGUCAGUGGUGAAAGCCUACAGCUUAACUGUAGAAUUGCCAUUGAUACUGAUGAUCUUGAGUAUGAUUGAGGUGGGCGGAAUGUGUCAUGUAGCGGUGAAAUGCUUAGAUAUGACACAGAACACCGAUUGCGAAGGCAGCUCACUAAGUCAUAAACUGACGCUGAUGCACGAAAGCGUGGGGAGCAAACAGG